CCAGGGCUGCUGAGCAAGCGCGCGAGCGAGGUAGUGGCGCGAGUGGUGCAGGGACACCUUGGGGGGUUUGUGAGGAGGCGCGGGCUCAGGGCGGCGGAAGCGCGAGGCGCCUCCAAGCGGGCGUUGAGCUCGCAACUCUCAGCAGCGCCUGGCUGUGCGGACUGUCUGACGCGGCGUCUCGCCCUCGCCCCCGCCCCCCUCCCAGGUCUGCGUGUUCUCCCGGUGUUGCAGCUCGGCUCCGGCUUGGCUCCGGCUCGGCUCCGGCUCAGCUCAGCAACUCUGCAGCCGGCGCCCGGCCCUGCCUCUGCCCCAGCUCCUGGGCUGCGCGGCGGCCGCGCCUAGGAUGAAGUGCAAGCCAAACCAGACGCGAACCUACGACCCCGAGGGCUUUAAGAAGCGGGCGGCGUGCCUGUGCUUCCGCAGCGAGCGUGAGGACGAGGUCCUGCUGGUGAGCAGCAGCAGGUACCCAGACCGCUGGAUCGUGCCUGGCGGGGGCAUGGAGCCCGAGGAGGAGCCGGACGGUGCGGCGGUGCGCGAGGUUUACGAGGAGGCGGGCGUCAAGGGGAAGUUGGGCCGGCUGCUGGGCGUCUUCGAGCAGAACCAGGACCGCAAGCACAGGACGUACGUGUUCGUGCUCACCGUCACCGAGCUGCUGGAGGAUUGGGAAGACUCGGUCAGCAUCGGGAGGAAGCGAGAGUGGUUCAAGAUCGAAGAUGCCAUCAAGGUCCUCCAGUGCCACAAGCCCGUGCACGCCGAGUACCUGGAGAAACUGAAGCUGGGCGGCUCCCCGACUAAUGGAAACUCCGCGGCCCUGUCCCUGCAGCCGGAGAGCGACCCUUAGUAUGUACCGCUCCCGCCUGGACGCCUGGCUGUCGCCUCUCUUCCCAUGCCGCCCGCCUGCCCAUCAGCCCGCCCGCCUGCUUGCCCGCGCCUGCCUGCCAGGAGAGCACCUCUCCUGCCCUGUGUGGUCAUGGGGGCAGGAGGGAGGCUUCUUUUGUUUCCUUGGCAGGCAGACCUCUGAAUCACGCUUGCAAACUGCCGCGGUUGCCAGGUGGUGUUUGCAGACAAUUUGCACGUUUUUCAGAUGCUUUCAAACCGCUUCCUGGUGAUAUGGUAAAAUGCUGUGACCAGACAGUGCAGCAUGGAAUUUCGUUGAAAGGUGAAUGGAAUAAAUGUUGUUCAGAUUUACUUUGAAAGAAUCAAGUGUAUGAACCCAAUGAUGAAUGGAAUUUUGAAGCACAGGUGAGCUCUUUGACAUCCCCAAGGACACAGCUCAUCCUAUGCUUUUGGACAUUUCCUUCCUGUUAUUAACAUGGCUAUUCUUCAGGUUAUUGUGCUACCACUGUAUCUUUACAGAAUUCUAUUUGGCACGUGUGACCUUUUUCUGCCUUUAUGAUUAUGUGUCUGUAUUUCCCAUCAGAUAUGACAUUGAAUGCAAAGAAAUUGCUUUCUUAGUCUUUAUAUCUGUCUCUCCCCCCUCUAUAUAUAUGUGCAUAUAUAGCAUAUAUAUGACUUUAUAUAUGGUAGAUAUCACUGAAUAUUUGUUUAAAUAAUAUUUUGUAAUGAUAUUGAAUGGCAAAACAUCCCUCUUCUAAUCUCUCUAACAUAUAUGUGGCUUUCGAAUAUCAGGUGUCACACAGUGAUUGCAAGGCAGCUGGGAGAUACUAGCAAAAAUUCUUACACAUAUGUCUGUGUUAUCCCAGACAUUAUGUACCUCCUACAUUUGCCAAAAUUUUGAACCUAAAUUUGACUGUGCCUCUAGACAUAAUUCCUGCUCUAUAGAAAACAUAGGAAACAGAGGAACAAAUUAUAUCAAGCAGAUCUGAUCAGCAGAAUCCUGCCUUCAGGAAACUAUAGGACAAAUGAUUGUUUCUUCAGUAUAUAAAUUGCAAGGAUGAAAGGAAAGGGUGGAAGAUGAACCUAUAAAUUGAAAGAUGCUUCAGAGACUUAUCAAUAUGUACAUGGAUCUGACUUGGAUCCUGAUUUGAUCAAACUGUAAAAUGAAUGAAUUUAUCAAACAACUGUAAUAUUUUAAACAUUGACUUUGUAUUUCAUAUUGAUAUAAUGUGAUUAUGUAGGAAACAAUUCUUAUCUAUGGUCAAAUAUUUAUAAUUAAUAUGGUAUAAUGUCUGGGAUUCGUUUCAAAAUAAGUCUAGAUAGUAAAUGCACUGGACAUAUUAAAACAAGAUUGGCCUUUAAGAUUAUUGAAACUGAAUGAUGUUUGUUAUAUAUGUUCAUCUCUGCUUUUGUAUGUUUGACAUUUUCCAUAA